ACAAUGAUACUUCCGUAGCGAAAGCGCGGCUUCCGGAGUACCCGGGGGUGGUGAGAGUCCAAUGA
rfam:Ruminococcus sp. CAG:382 genomic scaffold, scf195